AACGCUAGCUACAGGCUUAACACAUGCAAGUUGAGGGGCAGCAUGGUCUUAGCUUGCUAAGGCCGAUGGCGACCGGCGCACGGGUGAGUAACACGUAUCCAACCUGCCGUCUACUCUUGGACAGCCUUCUGAAAGGAAGAUUAAUACAAGAUGGCAUCAUGAGUCCGCAUGUUCACAUGAUUAAAGGUAUUCCGGUAGACGAUGGGGAUGCGUUCCAUUAGAUAGUAGGCGGGGUAACGGCCCACCCAGUCUUCGAUGGAUAGGGGUUCUGAGAGGAAGGUCCCCCACAUUGGAACUGAGACACGGUCCAAACUCCUACGGGAGGCAGCAGUGAGGAAUAUUGGUCAAUGGGCGAGAGCCUGAACCAGCCAAGCAGCGUGAAGGAUGACUGCCCUAUGGGUUGUAAACUUCUUUUAUAAAGGAAUAAAGUCGGGUAUGUAUACCCGUUUGCAUGUACUUUAUGAAUAAGGAUCGGCUAACUCCGUGCCAGCAGCCGCGGUAAUACGGAGGAUCCGAGCGUUAUCCGGAUUUAUUGGGUUUAAAGGGAGCGUAGAUGGAUGUUUAAGUCAGUUGUGAAAGUUUGCGGCUCAACCGUAAAAUUGCAGUUGAUACUGGAUAUCUUGAGUGCAGUUGAGGCAGGCGGAAUUCGUGGUGUAGCGGUGAAAUGCUUAGAUAUCACGAAGAACUCCGAUUG
rnacentral:rRNA from 1 species